UACAGAGGUCGCAAGCGUUAAUCGGAUUUACUGGGCGUAAAGCGUGUGUAGGUGGUUGUACAAGUCGGUUGUGAAAUCCCUCGGCUCAACCAAGGAAGUGCAUCCGAAACUGCUGAGCUUGAGUACGAAAGAGGAUCGCGGAAUUCCCGGUGUAGAGGUGAAAUUCGUAGAUAUCGGGAGGAACACCAGUGGCGAAGGCGGCGAUCUGGGUCGAUACUGACGCUGAGGUGCGAAAGCGUGGGGAGCAAACAGG
rnacentral:rRNA from 1 species